GGCAACCUGGCCGAGUGGUCUAAGGCGCCAGGUUCAGGAAUCCUGGUCUCUUCGGAGGCGAGAGUUCGAAUCUCUCGGUUGUCA
rnacentral:tRNA from 1 species